GGGGGCGGGGGGAGCCUUCCCCAGGCAGAGAUCCUGGAAUCUGCCCGCAAAUGGGCUGGCCUUAGAUGCUCCCAUGGUGGUGGUGCUGGGUGCCCUGUCGGGCUUGGCCUGGGGUAAAGGCAACCACAUGCAGCCUGGUCCCUUUCAGCUCCAGUCUGAGUCCCUACAGGGGUUGGAUGCCUUCAGAGAGACAAAGGGCCAUUGAGGCCUCAGAUCCAGUCGAGGGGGAGGAGGGCUCAGGCUACUCCGGCUAUUUUGGGAUCUCCAGACUCAAAGUCAUUCAGCCUUGACCGGCCCACGCAGGCUCAGGUCCCAGGAAGAGAGGAUAAACCAAACCAAGAAUCAGACCCUCUCUAGGCUUAAACACAGCAACAUGCUACUGCUCACAUGUGUACACACACACUCCAUGUUCCAGGUCUCCCAUAUGUGAACAUAUGUACAACCACUCAGUCAAGUCUGCACAGACACUGUGCAGUCACACACACCUGCGUGCAUACACACUGCACACCUUCAUGCAAUGCAAAACUUGCCCCUCAUCCACACAGCACACAUCGGGUGUGCCCCCACAUACACGCGUGUAGUUGGGCCCCUCCAGACGCUUCCCUGGCCCUGAGAGGAAGACGGGGAACGAAGUCCACAGAGAAUAGAAAGUCCCACCUACUGGCCUCCCUCUGAUCCCUUUCGCUCCGUAGGGGAGGGGCCGGCGCGCUCCAAAAGGAUGGGGUGGGAGUGGGGCGGCACCGCCCUCCCGGCGGCAGGCACACUCUACGCAUGCGCACACACCUUUCCUGUGGGGACCUCCGCCAGUCUCCACUCCUGGGCCCUCGAGGGUACCCCGCUAGUGUGUAAAGUGCGUCGAACAGUCGAGUGCCAGGCGGCCUCCAGCCACAGGUGUCUGGCCGCCCUGGUGGGGGAGGGGAAGAGGACGGGGCAGGGCGGCCCCCUCCCCCAGCCUCCUAGAGUCGGGUCUCAGGGCCAUCCCCUCCCCCUCGGCCUCAGCAGACAAUGAGCGUUUCACAGCGGGACGUCGCUGCUUGACCGGGGCCAGCCGCUGGGAAGGAGGCGGCUUCCAGCCCGGCCCCGAUCGCCCCCUCAGGACAGCCCCAAAUCCACCUCUUUCGGCCAGGUCCUGCCCAUGUCUAGGAGGAAACAGAAAGCUGGAGGAGCCAGGGUGGCACCCAGGUGUGGUCAGUGCCGGUGAGUCAGGAGACCCUGUGUUCCUGCUGAGGGCCAUGGCCAGGCCAAGGGAGAUGCACAGUCCAGCACAAAGGUCUGAGUUGGGGGGCGGUGCUUCUUGGAGGUAUUGACCACCUGGAUGUCAAGAUGAAGAGGAGUGGCAGAUAGACACCUAUUGGUGAAGGAGGAAACAGACAGAACAGGCUCCAUCUUGAAAGCAGGACUCCAUCUUGGGCCGGACUGUGGACUUUGAGCUAUAUGCCCAGUAUCUAUGGAAAUGACACACCAACUGGAAAACCAGACCCCCGGAUGGAAGAGUCCCAGGGCUCGUUCCUAGACUCUCUGUUACCUAAAAUACCCUAAUUAUCUGUGUAACCAAAUAAAAUCAUAAAUUCUA